rnacentral:rRNA from 1 species
GACGAACGCUGGCGGCGUGCUUAACACAUGCAAGUCGAACGGAAAGGCCCUGCUUUUGUGGGGUGCUCGAGUGGCGAACGGGUGAGUAACACGUGAGUAACCUGCCCUUGACUUUGGGAUAACUUCAGGAAACUGGGGCUAAUACCGGAUAGGAGCUCCUGCUGCAUGGUGGGGGUUGGAAAGUUUCGGCGGUUGGGGAUGGGCUCGCGGCUUAUCAGCUUGUUGGUGGGGUAGUGGCUUACCAAGGCUUUGACGGGUAGCCGGCCUGAGAGGGUGACCGGCCACAUUGGGACUGAGAUACGACACAGACUCCUACGGGAGGCAGCAGUGGGGAAUAUUGCACAAUGGGCGGAAGCCUGAUGCAGCAACGCCGCGUGCGGGAUGACGGCCUUCGGGUUGUAAACCUCUUUCGCCUGUGACGAAGCGUGAGUGACGGUAAUGGGUAAAGAAGCACCGGCUAGCUACGUG